UAAACGUUUGCUCCAUUGGUUUCAUACCGUACAAAUGUGCAGCACAUCCAAUAUCAUCAUCAUUAAGCUCAACUUUCCGAACACCCGAAGGCAUCGUCGGAAACAUAACCGCAUCUUCCACCGACGAGUGACCGAGCCCUAACACAUGCCAGAUCUCAUGCACCACAACAGUUUCCAAAUCGAUUGCUGUUCCAGACCCUGAACCAGAAGCAAAAUCACCGUCAAUGAUCCAUUGUUCAGCAUUAUCCAGAUGCAACACACCACUCUUUGCAUCCGCGUGGGCUAAGGUUCCCAACACUCCGUCAAACGGUUCACUGUCUCCAUGAUCACUAGCGUAAAAUCCGAUCUUAAUAUCAGCACCGAAGUAGGAACUGUCUUCUAUAAACAUUAACUGAGACCACUUCGACCACUGCUUGAAUGCGAUAAAUCGCGAUGUAAGGAUGCUCGUACAUGCGCGCGGUUCCAUCAACAAUGUCAGGCACUCCGCAUCUCGGUUUAACCAUCUGGUUAAUCGUUGAGCUGUCGAGUAUGCCGGUGGUGUUUAAGUUGAAGCUUUUUUGGUAAAUUUUUAUGGCGUGUUCAAGCGCGUCAUCAAAGUAAUCGUUGAAUUUGGUGGGCUGAUUGUUACUGUUAUUGUUAGUGAUGUAUCCGAACUGAUU
rnacentral:lncRNA from 1 species